AUUGAACGCUGGCGGCAGGCCUAACACAUGCAAGUCGAACGAGUGGCGGACGGGUGAGUAAUGUCUGGGAAACCGCCUGAUGGAGGGGGAUAACUACUGGAAACUGUAGCUAAUACCGCAUACCAUCGGAUGUGCCCAGAUGGGAUUAGCUAGUAGGUGGGGUAAAGGCUCACCUAGGCGACGAUCCCUAGCUGGUCUGAGAGGAUGACCAGCCACACUGGAACUGAGACACGGUCCAGACUCCUACGGGAGGCAGCAGUGGGGAAUAUUGCACAAUGGGCGCAAGCCUGAUGCAGCCAUGCCGCGUGUAUGAAGAAGGCCUUAGGGUUGUAAAGUACUUUCAGCGGGGAGGCGUUACCCACAGAAGAAGCACCGGCUAACUCCGUGCCAGCAGCCGCGGUAAUUC
rnacentral:rRNA from 1 species